rnacentral:rRNA from 1 species
UGCAGUCGAGGGGUAACAGAGUAGCUUGCUAUUGCUGACGACCGGCGCACGGGUGCGUAACGCGUAUACAAUCUGCCUUGUACUGAGGGAUAGCCUUUGGAAACGAAGAUUAAUACCUCAUAGUAUUGCGACAUCGCAUGGUGAUGCAAUUAAAGGUUACGGUACAAGAUGAGUAUGCGUCCUAUUAGCUAGAUGGAGUGGUAACGGCACCCCAUGGCAACGAUAGGUAGGGGCCCUGAGAGGGGGAUCCCCCACACUGGUACUGAGACACGGACCAGACUCCUACGGGAGGCAGCAGUGAGGAAUAUUGGACAAUGGAGGCAACUCUGAUCCAGCCAUGCCGCGUGCAGGAAGACUGCCCUAUGGGUUGUAAACUGCUUUUAUACAGGAAGAAACAGAACUACGUGUAGUUCCUUGACGGUACUGUAAGAAUAAGGAUCGGCUAACUCCGUGCCAGCAGCCGCGGUAAUACGGAGGAUCCAAGCGUUAUCCGGAAUCAUUGGGUUUAAAGGGUCCGUAGGUGGAUAAUUAAGUCAGAGGUGAAAUCCUGCAGCUCAACUGUAGAAUUGCCUUUGAUACUGGUUAUCUUGAGUUAUUAUGAAGUAGUUAGAAUAUGUAGUGUAGCGGUGAAAUGCAUAGAUAUUACAUAGAAUACCAAUUGCGAAGGCAGAUUACUAAUAAUAUACUGACACUGAUGGACGAAAGCGUGGGGAGCGAACAGGAUUAGAUACCCUGGUAGUCCACGCCGUACACGAUGGUCACUAGCUGUUCGGACUUCGGUCUGAGUGGCUAAGCGAAAGUGAUAAGUGACCCACCUGGGGAGUAC